rnacentral:rRNA from 1 species
CGGUGUUUUAGUCUAUUUAGAGGAAUUUGCCCCGUUAUCGAUAGUCCUCGUUUUAUCUAACUUGAUUAUAGUAUUGGUCUGUAUAUCGCUGUUAUAAGGUUUAUUUUAUAAGAAUAUAAAUUUACUUUAAUUAUUAUUUUAAUUUAUUUCAAGUCAAGGUGCAGCUUAUGAUUAAGUGGAGGUGAAUUACAAUAUUAUUUGAAUAUAAUGGCGUUGAUUUAAUUGAAAUUUUCAAUAAAAGUGGAUUUAAUUGUAAUUUUAACUAUAAUAUUGUUUUGAUUUUGGCUCUAAAAUGAGUACACAUCGCCCGUCGCUCUA